rnacentral:rRNA from 1 species
AUUGAACGCUGGCGGCAGGCCUAACACAUGCAAGUCGAACGAGUGGGGACGGGUGAGUAACACGUGGGUAACCUCCCAUCAGAGGGGCUAAGACUUGGAAACAGGUGCUAAACCGAUACUGAUGGAUGAACACGCGGUGCAUUAGCUAGUUGGUUAGGUAACGGAUCACAAAGGCAACGAUGCAUAGCCGACCGGGGAGGUGGAUCGGCCAAACUGGGACUGAGACACGGUCCAGACUCCGACGGGAGGCAGCAGUAGGGAAUCGUCGGCAAGGGACGAAAGUCUGACCGAGCAACGCCGCGUGAGUGAAGAAGGUUUUCGGAUCGUAAAACUCUGUUGUUAGAGAAGCGGUAUCUAACCAGAAAGCCACGGCUAACUACGUGCCAGCAGCCGCGGUAAUAC